AAACAAACAGGGAAGGGUAGUCAGGUCGCAGAGGAACUUUGUUUCCUUGAUAUGUCUGAGGCACCGUUUAAACACAGCCAGACAUCAGCAUUCCAUGGCUUUCAUCAGAUCCGCCAAAGAACUAGUGACCCAGAAGACCCCCAGAAUAGAGGGCAGCUUCUCCCACUGAGCUCAGGGCCACCUUGAGGAGGGUGGGAAAGUUUUUAAAAUAUUUGUUGAACAUCUACUCUGGGUCAGUCCUUUUCCUCAGUAAUCGAAGUUAACUGCUGAACAAGAGGUCAGCCCUGUUGAAGCUAUCUUCUUGGGGAAGAGACAGACAAGUGAAUAUAUAAGCAAGGUAUGGGACUGGUAUUGUGGUGCAGUACUUUGGGCUGCCAU